rnacentral:lncRNA from 1 species
UAAAUUUCUUUUUUCAAAUUUCAUUCUAAAUACAAAUUCUAUAUUAAUUGAUUAAGAUGAGUAUGAAUUGCACUAAGAGGAGGAGAAAACAAAAAGAGUAAUUUAAAAAAUUUAUAAGAUUUGAAAAAACAUAUAGGUGUAUCAAUUAACCUCAAAUAUUAGUAAAUGAAAUGCAUAGCCAAGCCAACAUAGCUGAAGAACAAAAUCCAUUCAUAAGUUACAAUACAAAGUGAACAAUAAUAUUCCUACACAUAUGAUGCUAGUACAUCAGAAUAAAAACUAUAACACGAAAUGAGAAAUCGGAUAAACAAGAUGCAAAGUAAGUUAGAUCGGGAUGGCAUUGGUGACUUUAGGAUACACAACAGUAGCAGGAUGACCCAUGAUUUUGCGACCCUUCAUAUGCUUAAAGCAAUACACCAGAGCCCCCACCGGCCACUCCACCACCGCCGCAGCCACAAACGCCACGAACCCGAGUGUAGGCCCCACCACCUUACACCGGCAAGGGUUACUUCUUGUGCCACAUUCCACGCAAAUUGGAACCCCUAUUCCAACCAUCUUCAAUCAAAAGCUAGUAAUCAAGUGAGAAUUCUUAGAAAUAAAGAAGUACACUGCAAGUUGUUCGUGUU